rnacentral:rRNA from 1 species
GACGAACGCUGGCGGCGUGCCUAAUACAUGCCAGUAGAACGCUGAAGGAGGAGCUUGCUCUUCUGGAUGAGUUGCGAACGGGUGAGUAACGCGUAGGUAACCUGCCUGGUAGCUGGGGAUAACUAUUGGAAACGAUAGCUAAUACCGCAUAAGAGUAGAUGCUGCAUGACAUUUACUUAAAAGGUGCAAUUGCAUCACUACCAGAUAGACCUGCGUUGUAUUAGCUAGUUGGUGGGGUAACGGCUUACCAAGGCGACGAUACAUAGCCGACCUGAGAGGGGGAUCGGCCACACUGGGACGGAGACACGGCCCAGAGUCCUAGGGGAGGCAGCAGUAGGGAAUCGUCGGCAAUGGACGGAAGUCUGACCGAGAAACGCCGAGUGAGUGAAGAAGGUUUUCGGAUCGUAAAGCUCUGUUGUCAGAGAAGAACGAGUGUGAGAGUGGAAAGUUCACACUGUGACGGUAUCUUACAAGAAAGGGACGGCUAACUACGUG